CCUUUCGGCAGCAGCAGAUCGGAGUAGACGAGCGAUACAAGUUUACAGGUGUGAACUGGUUUACAGGUGUGAACAGGUUUACAGGUGUGAACAGGUUUACAGGUGUGAACAGGUUUACAGGUGUGAGCUGGUUUACAGGUGUGAGCUGGUUUACAGGUGUGAACAGGUUUACAGGUGUGAGCUGGUUUACAGGUGUGAGCUGGUUUACAGGUGUGAGCUGGUUUACAGGUGUGAACAGGUUUACAGGUGUGAGCUAGUUAUUCUGCAGUGUGUUCUCUGAGUGUGAGAUAAGAGUUUAGAGAAUAUUCUAAACUUCUAGGUCACCUAUCUGUUUGGGACAGAAUGAAAAUAGCUUCUGCAGUAUAAAAUAUUAA